rnacentral:antisense_RNA from 1 species
CAUGGAAGUCUCCAAGCCUGUGCCAUCCACCUGCCAAGGAAAAGCACAAGGCAGUAGAGCGAGGGAAGCUGCACUGGCUGAGAGGCUGUGGAACCGGAUGAAAAAGCAGCCCCUGAGUCCUGUGGCGUUGGCUCAUACAGUUUGAACAUUUAUUCGCCUCCUGAGCUUGUACAACAGUCGUGGGAGUUGCUGCAGAAGCAAGCGAAAAGCCAGAUGAGCGCUUCUAAACUUAGAGAGAGGGAGAGCGCCUCAUCUCUUCCAUUUUCCAGGUAUUCCUGAGAUGAUUUAUUGGAGCUCAAAGCUUUGGGAGAGUUGGGGCCUUCCAUUCCCUCCAGUAAAUACUUGUUUUUCUUCCACCGCUGAGGCAAAUGCGGGGUGGCUGAUCACCUGGCAGACAUCUUAGGAAACAGGAGCACCGGUCUGGGAAACUGCUGGCCUGGCCUAACACCUGGCGCUGUGGUGCAGGAAAAUCAGUCUGCGCUGAACAGGAUGGAAUUGGGGCAGGACGUCCAGUGAGGAGGACAUUGAGGCAGUAGAGCAG